AUGGCCAAACUGAUCAGGUCUGAUUUCCGUCAGUCUUGGUUGGGUCGGCAGGUGACUCUUUGGCUCAUCUAUGGGUUGUGAGUGUUACUAGCCGGCUGUAGCGGAGCUGUGCGGUGUGUCGGAGAUGGCGGCUUCGCAUGCGUGCCUAGACCUUCGGGCGUUGUUGAGUCUGGUCGGCUCGUUACUAGCUUCGGCUGGUCGGCUGAUGGCUUGAUUUUGUCACGUUGGCGGUUGCGUGUGUGGUUUGCGUUGGGCCAAUAGUCUGUGGUGUAGUGGUAGACGAUCCACCUGACCCGUCUUGAAACACGGACCAAGGAGUUUAACAUGUGCGCGAGUCAUUGGGUGUUACGAAACCCAAAGGCGAAGUGAAGGUAAAGGUUCGGCUUGUCCGGACUGAGGUGAGAUCCUGUUGUCUUGCUCAUACUUUCCAAGUUGCGAGCAGCGGGCGCAUCACCGGCCCGUCCCAUGACGUA
rnacentral:rRNA from 1 species